AUUGAACGCUGGCGGCAGGCCUAACACAUGCAAGUCGAACGGUAACAGGAAACAGCUUGCUGUUUCGCUGGCGAGUGGCGGACGGGUGAGUAAUGUCUGGGAAACUGCCUGAUGGAGGGGGAUAACUACUGGAAACGGUAGCUAAUACCGCAUAACGUCGCAAGACCAAAGAGGGGGACCUUCGGGCCUCUUGCCAUCGGAUGUGCCCAGAUGGGAUUAGCUAGUAGGUGGGGUAACGGCUCACCUAGGCGACGAUCCCUAGCUGGUCUGAGAGGAUGACCAGCCACACUGGAACUGAGACACGGUCCAGACUCCUACGGGAGGCAGCAGUGGGGAAUAUUGCACAAUGGGCGCAAGCCUGAUGCAGCCAUGCCGCGUGUAUGAAGAAGGCCUUCGGGUUGUAAAGUACUUUCAGCGGGGAGGAAGGGAGUAAAGUUAAUACCUUUACUCAUUGACGUUACCCGCAGAAGAAGCACCGGCUAACUCCGUG
rnacentral:rRNA from 1 species